rnacentral:rRNA from 2 species
UACGUAGGUGGCGAGCGUUGUCCGGAAUCACUGGGCGUAAAGGGCGCGUAGGCUGUUAUUUAAGUCAGGUGUGUAAUCUGCGGGCUUAACCCGGAGUUUGCACCUGAUACUGGAUGGCUUGAGUGCUGGAGAGGGCAGUGGAAUUCCUAGUGUAGCGGUGAAAUGCGUAGAUAUUAGGAGGAACACCAGUGGCGAAGGCGGCUGCCUGGACAGUAACUGACGCUGAGGCGCGAAAGCGUGGGGAGCAAAC